rnacentral:sRNA from 1 species
AGCAGCCGCGGUAAUUCCAGCUCCAAUAGCGUAUAUUAAAGUUGUUGCAGUUAAAAGCUCGUAGUUGAAUUUCGGGGUCAGUAGAUUGGUCGUGCCACUGGUAUGCACUGGUCUUACUGGCUCCUCCUUCCUGAUGAACCGUAAUGCCAUUAAUUUGGUGUUGCGGGGAGACUGGACUGUUACUUUGAAAAAAUUAGAGUGUUUAAAGCAGGCUAACGCUUGAAUACAUUAGCAUGGAAUAAUGAAAUAGGACGUUCGAUUCUAUUUUGUUGGUUUCUAGGAUUGACGUAAUGAUUAAUAGGGAUAGUUGGGGGCAUUAGUAUUCAAUUGUCAGAGGUGAAAUUCUUGGAUUUAUUGAAGACUAACUACUGCGAAAGCAUUUGCCAAGGAUGUUUUCAUUAAUCAAGAACGAAAGUUAGGGGGAUC